rnacentral:rRNA from 1 species
UUCCUACGGGGCGCAGCAGUGAGGAAUAUUGGUCAAUGGGAGAGAUCCUGAACCAGCCAAGCCGCGUGAGGGAAGACGGCCCUAUGGGUUGUAAACCUCUUUUGUCGGAGAACAAAACCCGGGACGUGUCCCGGACUGCGUGUAUCCGAAGAAAAAGCAUCGGCUAACUCCGUGCCAGCAGCCGCGGUAAUACGGAGGAUGCGAGCGUUAUCCGGAUUUAUUGGGUUUAAAGGGUGCGUAGGCGGUCCGUUAAGUCAGCGGUAAAAUCGAGGGGCUCAACCCCUUUAAGCCGUUGAAACUGGUGG